rnacentral:rRNA from 2 species
GGGUUGUGAGGUUAAGCGACUAAGCGUACACGGUGGAUGCCCUGGCAGUCAGAGGCGAUGAAGGACGUGCUAAUCUGCGAUAAGCGUCGGUAAGGUGAUAUGAACCGUUAUAACCGGCGAUUUCCGAAUGGGGAAACCCAGUGUGAUUCGUCACACUAUCAUUAACUGAAUCCAUAGGUUAAUGAGGCGAACCGGGGGAACUGAAACAUCUAAGUACCCCGAGGAAAAGAAAUCAACCGAGAUUCCCCCAGUAGCGGCGAGCGAACGGGGAGCAGUCCAGAGCCUGAAUCAGUGUGUGUGUUAGUGGAAGCGUCUGGAAAGGCGCGCGAUACAGGGUGACAGCCCCGUACACAA